AUUGCUUCUCGGCCUUUUGGCUAAGAUCAAGUGUAGUAUCUGUUCUUAACAGUUUAAUAUCUGAUACGUCCUCUAACCGAGGACAAUAUAUUAAAUGGAUCUUUGGAGCAGGGAGAUGGAAAAAGAAAAAACAAUCAAACAAAC
rnacentral:snRNA from 1 species